CAAAACCUGUAUAGUGAACAUUUCUCUUCUUAUUGCGUACAUACAAUGAUAGAUACACGUAUAAGAAAGACAGCACAGUUUAAAGUAGGGGCCUCAGUCAAUACUCUUCUCUACACAUUAAAUUUGGCAAGCAAACUCUCCAUACAGUAACAUUGUAUGAACCGAAAUCCACUAUGAUUAGAAAUCAAACAAAUGAAGACCUCCAAUAUGUUCUCCACUCAAACCUCGCCCUAAAUGCGCAGAACCUGUGGGCUUCAAGCAUUAACAGAUGCAACUCAUGCCAGAGAAGGGCUUCUUGAACUCAACCAAUUCAAAAUACGCACACCGCAUACUGCAGCAGAAUCUCAUAUCUUCUCCUUUUCUCCUUCCUGGUGCUUUGCAACACCGAACACUACAAGAGAGCACUAUGACAAUAACACCAACAACCACGAAACAUCCUCUGCUUUCUGAAGUACCAAUUCAGAUGAGGAUUCUCCAUAAAGGAAGCAAUACCUAAUUCCCUCACAACAUAUAUUUCACAGAAUGCCUACAAAACCACACACAGACAAACCAAACUCAAUGUACCAAUAAUUCAAAACAACUAAACCAGAAAAGAAAACAAUGGGAACACCCAAUUUGGAUGCUCACUGUCCACCUCUUCCAACUCAAAGGAAGCAACUUCAUGCCCCAAACCUAUCACAAAAUAAAUUGGGACCAGCUGACAGAGAAAACCCAAAUUUUCUUCUUGCAUGUAAAAGAGGUCAAGCCACGACAUCCUCAAACCACCCAAUUAACUAAACUGAUAUCGCUGCGCUCAAGGCAAAUGUAAAUCGGGGACACACCAUGCCAAUCACGCCGUGCCGAUGGCAUUUGAAAUAAAUCAACUUCUGGAUCAGAAUAAACACAAACCCACUUGCCCAAAAUCUCCACUUUCACCAGUACGCCAUCCCACUAGAGUGAUUUCAAUCAGAAAACAACCCCCCCCCAAUUGACGCAGUAGAGCGGCGUCAUGAGGACAAAAGGGUCAGUCUCCGAAGCGAUGUUGCUCGACCCAGCACAGCACACAGCUCCACGAGUCGCCGCUGCCGACGAAGAAGGAGAAGAAGAAGAGAAAAGGGUGUGGCGGAACAACUGGUCCCUCAAUCGGUUGCCGUCCUUGUCGCCGUUGCCGUCGCCGUCCCUGCCGCCGUCGCUGUCCCUGUCCCAUCGCAGCCACAGUCGCCGUCGCCGUCGACGGUGUUGUCACACCUUCAAGACGAGAGGAGACAGGAGAGAAUUAGAAAUAGGGUUGGC
rnacentral:lncRNA from 1 species